CUAAUGUUUUAGUAAAGGUGUCAUUCAUGCUGCUGCUCCUCUGUUUGCUUUACAACUACAUCAUAUUCUAGCCUUGAAAACCUCCUGGACAUUGAUUUCUUUUAUGGAUUUAAAGGAACACUGCUUCAGAGUGACAACAUCGAUGGCAAACCUAACGAAUUACCCCAGGUAUUAUGAUCAACCAGGAAAUUUUGUGGCCAAGUAUCUCUAGAGAGCAUUCAGCAGGAAAUCCAGCCAACCAGGUUCAACACUGGCUUCAAAGGGAGGAGUAUUUGUUUUCCUCUGAUUGGUUAACACCACUUUUCUGGAUGGAAUUGAGACAGAACAGCAACUCUGUUAGCCUCUGGAUAAAUUGCUUUACGACUUCAAUCUACAUUAGAACAACCAAACACAAGUAUGCUGUCCCUCCUGGUUCUCCG
rnacentral:lncRNA from 1 species